rnacentral:tRNA from 1 species
GGCUCCGUGGCUUAAUGGUUACGGCUUCUGCCUCACAAGCAGAAGGUUCAGGGAUCAAAUCCCGGCCGAUACCU